GGGAAGGCCAGUCUACAGGUGUGUUAAAAUUGCACAAAACUAAACAUAUGCAACCAUGAAUAUUUACAAAACUAAUAAAUCUCAAUAAGUGGUGUGGGCUACACUAAUUUCAAUUCCUGGUUUUGAUUCCUAGUUGUAGAGUUAUCCCAGAUGCUGCCCUUGGCCCUUGGCGGGAGGGUGCCUGAAAGACACACGGGACCUCCCUGGACAUGUUUUGCACCUUCUUGUGAAUCCAGUAAAAGGAUAAACAACGAUACCUGCAAACUCCAUAUGCAGAUGUACAUGCGUGUGAUUACCAUCGAACUGUAGCGAAACAAGACCAUUAGCACGGAUGACCCAGAGUGUUUCUUAAUCAUGCAAAUGUCAGCUCAUCGGGUAGACACAACUUCCGUAACGUGUCCACACACAGACCCAGGGCUUGCGAGGCGUGAUGCAAGAUUAGACGGAGCUACAAGCCAUCAGGGCAGCACAGAGUUGGCAGUUUCAACAACUGUCCCUUGGACAUCACUUGGCAGUGGAUCAGACUCCUCACCUGCCUUAUUCCAUCUGUGCUCCCAGGACAGACUCUGUGAAGGAUGCUGGUGCUCGUAGGACGGCGCAGCGCUCAGAGUUCCCAGCACAGCUCAGUUUCCCGGCCACAGAAUGGGAGACAGGAUGGAACAAAAUCAGACAUUUGUGUUCAGGGCUGGAUGUUUCUCCUGCGUGGGGGCCGCAGACCAUGGUUUCGAGCUCCGACCUGAGAGCAGCGGGAGGAAGAUGCUUAGAGGCAGCGCCUGUCGAGUCUGUGAAGCAGGGUGCUGUCCUCAGACACGAUGUGAUCCUGUGGCAUGGCCGGUCGGGGCAGACCGAAGACUCGGGAGCCCAAAGGCACAGGCAAAAAUAUAUAUCUUGGUAUCAAGCUCCUCGGUCCCUAAAUACUCCCGAUGUGAUAAUGAGCUGCUCAGAUGCCUCAGUCCGGGUUCAGACGCCACCACGACGGGCAUAGCCACAAGGCAGACUCCAGAGCUGUUGCAUGGGGGACGCAGGGCCUGGAGUGGUGCUGCCACUGGCAGGCAAUUUCCUACAAGGACGGGCCAAGCCCAUGGGAUGUCGUGAAUGAGAUAGAGCUCAGUUUACCUGCUUCCUUCAAUUUGCACUGAGAUUACCUUCCCAGGCAAUUCAUUAAAGCUGUGCAAAAA
rnacentral:lncRNA from 1 species